GGUACUCGUGGUCGUUGCUAGGGUGUUGCUAUGCGGUUGCAAGGGUACUUGGUGUGGUUGCUAGGGUGUUGCUAUGCGGUUGCUAGGGUACUUGGGGUGGUUG